AAUGGAGUUAUUACAUGAUACUUCCUACUAAAUAAUUCAUGAAUGAGUAUAUGCUGAUUUCUAAAAUGACAACAUGCAGGUUGAAUGCUGUCCACACACAAGAUUAUUGUCCAUGUUUAAAAAGAACAUGGGGCGGGGGUCCCAGUUUCAGUGAAAGACUGAUAUUG
rnacentral:lncRNA from 1 species